UCUGCCUUCUAUGCGAUAUGGAAUCUUUUCUCUGGAUUUAUCAUUCCACGACCUAGAAUUCCUGUUUGGUGGAGAUGGUAUUAUUGGGCAUGCCCUGUUUCGUGGACCCUUUAUGGUUUGGUCGCUUCCCAGUUUGGAGAUGUACAUCAUCAACUUGACACCGGCGUGGAAGUGGCUGAUUUCGUCAGGAGUUACUUUGGGUUCCGGCACGACUUUUUGGGAGUGGUAGCAGCGGUCGUUGUCGCAUUCCCUGUGCUAUUUGCUUUCCUAUUCGGUUUCUCAAUAAAAAUGCUCAACUUCCAAAGGAGAUGAUCGAAGUUCCCUACGAUGGACCAUGAUGUUUUGGAGUCGGUGAUUUUGAAAUUAUUGUGAAAUAAUUAUUGUGAUUUUUGGGAGUCGGUGAUUUUUUUUUUUUUUUUAGUUGUGCCACAUGUUUUUUUCAACAAUUAUUGUGAAAUUUAAAAGACGUCGAGACUUUCUCUAAA